rnacentral:rRNA from 1 species
GACGAACGCUGGCGGCGUGCUUAACACAUGCAAGUCGAACGGAAAGGCCCUGCUUGCAGGGUACUCGAGUGGCGAACGGGUGAGUAACACGUGGGUGAUCUGCCCUGCACUUCGGGAUAAGCCAGGGCAACUGGGUCUAAUACCGGAUAGGAGCCAUUUUUAGUGUGAUGGUUGGAAAGUUUUUUCGGUGUAGGAUGAGUUCGCGGCCUAUCAGCUUGUUGGUGGGGUAAUGGCCUACCAAGGCGGCGACGGGUAGCCGGCCUGAGAGGGUGGACUGCCACAUUGGGACUGAGAGACGGCCCAGACUCCGACGGGAGGCAGCAGUGGGGAAUAUUGCACAAUGGGCGCAAGCCUGAUGCAGCGACGCCGCGGGGGGGAUGACGGCCUUCGGGUUGUAAACUCCUUUCGCUAGGGACGAAGCUUUUUGUGACGGUACCUAGAUAAGAAGCACCGGCUAACUACGUG